AAACCGACACAGGUACCCGGGAUGAGAAUUCUAAGGCGCUCGAGUGAUUCAUGACUAAGGAACUAGGCAAAAUAACCCUGUAACUUCGGGAGAAAGGGUUCCCACGUAAGUGGGACGCAGAGAAAUGGUCCAGGCGACUGUUUAACAAAAACACAGGGCUUUGCAAAAUCGUAAGAUGAAGUAUAAGGCCUGACACCUGCCCGAUGCUGGAAGGUUAAGAGGAGAUGUCAACCGUAAGGCGAAGCAUUGAAUUGAAGCCCCAGUAAACGGCGGCCGUAACAAUAACGGUCCUAAGGUAGCGAAAUUCCUUGUCGGGUAAGUUCCGACCUGCACGAAUGGUGUAACGAUCUGGAUACUGUCUCAGUCAUGAGCUCGGUGAAAUUGUAGUAGCGGUGAAGAUGCCGCUUACCCGCAACGGGACGGAAAGACCCCGUGAACCUUUACUGCAACUUUACAUUGAUUUUGGGUAAAUCAUGUGUAGGAUAGGUGGGAGACUACGAAUCGGUGUCGCCAGGCAUCGUGGAGUCGACGUUGAAAUACCACCCUUGAUUUGCUUGGAGUCUAAUCUCGCUUAAGGCGAGAGACAGUGUAUGGUGGGUAGUUUGACUGGGGUGGUCGCCUCCAAAAGAGUAACGGAGGCUUCUAAAGGUACCCUCAGCACGAAUGGUAACCGUGCGUAGAGUGCAUUGGCAUAAGGGUGCUUGACUGUGAGAGAGACAACUCGAGCAGGUACGAAAGUAGAGCAAAGUGAUCCGGUGGUUCCGCAUGGAAGGGCCAUCGCUCAAAGGAUAAAAGGUACUCCGGGGAUAACAGGCUGAUCGCCGCCAAGAGCUCAUAUCGACGCGGCGGUUUGGCACCUCGAUGUCGGCUCGUCACAUCCUGGGGCUGGAGAAGGUCCCAAGGGUUCGGCUGUUCGCCGAUUAAAGUGGCACGCGAGCUGGGUUCAGAACGUCGUGAGACAGUUCGGUCCCUAUCUGUUGUGGGCGUUGGAAAUUUGAGAGGACCUGACUCUAGUACGAGAGGACCGUGUCGGACAUACCUCUGGUGUACCUGUUGUGGCGCCAGCUGCAGCGCAGGGUAGCUACGUAUGGAUGAGAUAAGCGCUGAAAGCAUCUAAGCACGAAGCUCGCCUCAAGAUGAGAUUUCCUUUAAGGGUCGUUGGAGACUACGACGUUGAUAGGCUGCAGGUGUAAAGGUGGUAACAUCAAAGCCGAGCAGUACUAAUUACCCU
rnacentral:rRNA from 1 species